CAGCAGCCGCGGGAAUACGAAGGGGGCUAGCGUUGCUCGGAAUCACUGGGCGUAAAGGGUGCGUAGGCGGGUUUUUAAGUCAGAUGUGAAAUCCCGGGGCUCAACCCCGGAACUGCAUCCGAUACUGCCGUGCUAGAGGAUUGGAGAGGUAGCUGGAAUUCUUGGUGUAGCAGUGAAAUGCGUGGAGAUCAAGAGGAACACUCGUGGCGAAAGCGAGCUACUGGACAACAUCUGACGCUGAGGCUCGAAGGCCAGGGUAGCGAAAGGGAUUAGAUACCCCUGUAGUCCCUGUCUCUUAUAC
rnacentral:rRNA from 1 species